GUUUGUCGCUUCCCGAGCCGUACGAGCACCCAUGUCAAAGCGACUGGCCACCACAUCUGGAAAGGCUGAUCGUGAAUGGCACUACGUACACGAAAGAGGACUGCCUCAGCAUAUGCCUGCAGGACAUGCUCCGGGAACGUUGCAAGUGCGAAUCAAGCGACACAACAAACAUUUAUCAGUCACCAGAUGAAUACGCAUAUCCAAUCUGCGAAUCCGACUACGAGAACGACGCUUGCAUGGCGAACACACGGGCCAUCAUGGACCUUUCUACGACUGAAACAUCGUGCAAAUGCCAUCCGACAUGCACG
rnacentral:lncRNA from 1 species